GCUUUUUCUUGUUUGAGAUUAACUGGCAAAAUAAGAACAACUCAGCCUUGGAAGGGCCUGUGCUUAAACAGGCUUAUAAAAGCAAGGGAGCAGAAAGAAUGGCUUCUGAGCGCCAAACUAAGGCAACGACAUCUCUCUACAGAGACUGCCAAGGGAGAGGAGUAGAGGGCAAAGGAAAAAGAAGAAAGCCAAAGCCUGUACAACCAAAGCCCCUGAGCUGCCGCAAGCUGUUUUCUCUUGUUAAUGACCACCUCUCACCCCUUCACUCUUUCCACUAAGAUUUACAAGAUAAGUGAAGGGCAAAUUAGCAUGACAUGAGUUGCGUUCAUGCAGGAUGUCAGGUGGCAUUUGUGUAAGGAACUUGCACUUUUGUAAAUCUCUCAAAUAUUCACUAUGUAAGAUGAGUGUAAGAGACUUAGCACUGGUCCACUGUCUGGCCAUUAUGUUAUUUCCCACAGGGUGGAUACACUUAGGACUACUGGUACUGCUCUUGAAUGUUUUGUUGUGGAUUUAAAAAAACAAUUCCAAACUUCACUGCCUACCUUUCAGAAAUCACAAGUAUGGUACUGACUUAAUUAAAACAUGCAGAAAAAGUCUAAUGAAAACAACAUGUUCUUUAUCUGUAUCUUUAUCUAUAGCUACAAGAACAUUCCAUGACCAUGUGUUUGUUUUUAAUUCCCCACUGCAGUCAUCUGCCAUUCAUUAACACCAGCUGGAAAAACUUUAUUUUAUUUUUAUUUUUUUUUUUAUUUUUACUUUUUUUCUGUGGCCUUUCUGUGGCCUUUACCAAAAAAUAUAUAAUUUUAACAAUAAAAAAUAAAAAUUCUUAUCUAACUUACUGUUUGAUGUAUAGUGCCAAUUAAUUUUAUUUGUAAACUAACAGCAUAAGCAAUCACUUUUUUCUAAGCUUGUGCAAUCCUAUUAGAGGGUGAUAAUAUCCAGUAUUGUUUAUUUUAAUUAUAUUGUAUUGUAGGCAUGCCACUAUUUAACAGUAUGUGAGCAUGAAUUAUUAGUCAGAUUUACUCUAUAACAGCUCUUUUUCUUUUUCAGUCUGUUUCUUCACAAUAAAUCAGGGGAUCUGAUGUCAAUCAAGAAGUUAUUUGCGAAAGUAUUUUAAAUUCUCUUAUGUGUGUAUAUGUUUGCACCUGACACCAAGACAAAUUCCUAUUAAUGUGAAGUGCUCUUUGCUAAACCCUUUGCUGUACCUUGCAAUAAAACCUUAUCUGAUUCUGAUUCUGAACUGAUACCGCUGUAAGCCCCUGUUCCCUUUCCCCAAUCGCUCACUGAAUUUGCAGCCUCAAGUUCUGUUAUGGAAAUGCGUGAAUGCUGUGAGUUCAUUAAUGUAUGUCGGCUUUGUGGGUUUUUUUAACUGCAAUUUGCUGUACUAGGCAGUGUAGAUUUGGUCAUUCAUAAAGACAAAAACAAUUUUAUUUUUUACAAAAACGAUUUUUAAAUGGUCUAUUGUGUGUGUGUGUGUGUGUGUGUGUGUGUGUGUGUGUGUGUUACUGUUUUUAAUUGUGCAUCUCUGAUGAAGAACAUUUUUAUUUUGAAAUGGUGGAAAUACUCAUUUUCAUUCAUUCAAUUUUGAAAUUUUUAAAUGGAAAAAGAAUUCCACCCAAGCCUAAAUUUUACAGUAGAAAGUUUGAAUGCACAGUAUAUUAUUCACAUGCUCAUCAUUAUUCAAUAAAAUAAAAUAAAGUAUAA